rnacentral:lncRNA from 1 species
GUUUCCACAUCAACAAAAGCAAAGCUGCUCAGGAGGAACCACUGCUGUUCUCCAUAACCACAGCACUGUCUCUGUAAAGUGCUGGUGUUCAAUCUCCAUGAACAGUUUUGUCAGUGGACUUGAAAGAGACUGCAAAGUUCAGUCCUUGAGAGUUCCUCCAGAUUCCUCUGGCGUUCCUGCUGCCUGAGAUGUUCUGCUGUGUUGGAAGACCCCCUCCAUCCUCUCCCUGCUCAAGAAGAGGACGCAACUGGGCCCUGGAAGACCAGCUGGGUGGAGAGUGAAGGCAGGAUUGGCUCUGGGAGUGGACUCCUGAUGAUGAUACGGUUGAGAGUAAAUGUGGAUGAACAUCACUCCCCUCCUGCUGAUGGAGCAACACGGUUUCCUUGCCUCUCUCUGCCUGCCCUUCAACACCAAAUGGGUGAGUUUUCCUCUUUUCCUCUUUUUUUUUUUUUUUUUUCCCAAUCCUUUUACCCAUACUCCUUUCCAAC